rnacentral:rRNA from 1 species
GACGAACGCUGGCGGCGUGCUUAACACAUGCAAGUCGAACGGAAAGGCCCUGCUUUUGUGGGGUGCUCGAGUGGCGAACGGGUGAGUAACACGUGAGUAACCUGCCCUUGACUUUGGGAUAACUUCAGGAAACUGGGGCUAAUACCGGAUAGGAGCUCCUGCUGCAUGGUGGGGGUUGGAAAGUUUCGGCGGUUGGGGAUCGACUCGCGGCUUAUCAGCUUGUUGGUGGGGUAGUUGCUUACCAAGGCUUUGACGGGUAGCCGGCCUGGGAGGGUGACCGGGCACAUUGGGACUGAGGUACGGCCCAGACUCCUACGGGCGGCAGCAGUGGGGAAUAUUGCACAAUGGGCGGAAGCCUGAUGCAGAAACGCCGCGUGCGGGAUGCCGGCCUUCGGGUUGUAAACCGCUUUCGCCUGUGACGAAGCGUGAGUGACGGUAAUGGGUAAAGAAGCACCGGCUAACUACGUG